rnacentral:rRNA from 1 species
GACGAACGCUGGCGGCGUGCCUAAUACAUGCAAGUAGAACGCUGAAGGAGGAGCUUGCUUCUCUGGAUGAGUUGCGAACGGGUGAGUAACGCGUAGGUAACCUGCCUGGUAGCGGGGGAUAACUAUUGGAAACGAUAGCUAAUACCGCAUAAUAGCAGUUGUUGCAUGAUAACUGUUUGAAAGGUGCAAUUGCACCACUACCAGAUGGACCUGCGUUGUAUUAGCUAGUUGGUGGGGUAACGGCUCACCAAGGCGACGAUACAUAGCCGACCUGAGAGGGUGAUCGGCCACACUGGGACUGAGACACGGCCCAGACUCCUACGGGAGGCAGCAGUAGGGAAUCUUCGGCAAUGGACGGAAGUCUGACCGAGCAACGCCGCGUGAGUGAAGAAGGGUUUCGGAUCGUAAAGCUCUGUUGUAAGAGAAGAACGAGUGUGAGAGUGGAAAGUUCACACUGUGACGGUAGCUUACCAGAAAGGGACGGCUAACUACGUG